rnacentral:rRNA from 1 species
UGGGGAAUUUUGGACAAUGGGGGCAACCCUGAUCCAGCCAUUCCGCGUGAGUGAAGAAGGCCUUCGGGUUGUAAAGCUCUUUCAGCAGGAACGAAACGGUCGACUUUAAUAAAGUCGUCUAAUGACGGUACCUGCAGAAGAAGCACCGGCUAACUACGUGCCAGCAGCCGCGGUAAUACGUAGGGUGCGAGCGUUAAUCGGAAUUACUGGGCGUAAAGCGUGCGCAGGUGGCGACAUAAGACAGAUGUGAAAUCCCCGGGCUCAACCUGGGAACUGCGUUUGUGACUGUGUUGCUAGAGUGUAGCAGAGGGGGGUGGAAUUCCACGUGUAGCAGUGAAAUGCGUAGAGAUGUGGAGGAACACCGAUGGCGAAGGCAGCCCCCUGGGUUAACACUGACGCUCAUGCACGAAAGCGUGGGGAGCAAACAGG